rnacentral:rRNA from 1 species
AUUGAACGCUGGCGGCAGGCCUAACACAUGCAAGUCGAACGAGUGGCGGACGGGUGAGUAAUGUCUGGGAAACUGCCCGAUGGAGGGGGAUAACUACUGGAAACGGUAGCUAAUACCGCAUACCAUCGGAUGUGCCCAGAUGGGAUUAGCUAGUGGGUGGGGUAAUGGCUCACCUAGGCCACGCGCCCUAGAUGGUAUGAGAGGAUGAAAAGCCACACUGUAAUUGAGACACGGGCCAGACUCCUACGGGAGGCAUUAGUGGGGAAUAGUGCACAAGGGGCGAAAGCCGGAUGCAGCCAUGCCGCGUGUGUGAAGAAGGCCUUCGGGUUGUAAAGUACUUUCAGCGAGGAGGCGUUACUCGCAGAAGAAGCACCGGCUAACUCCGUGCCAGCAGCCGCGGUAAUUC